GAAACUGCGAAUGGCUCAUUAAAUCAGUUAUCGUUUAUUUGAUAGUACCUUACUACUUGGAUAACCGUGGUAAUUCUAGAGCUAAUACAUGCUAAAAACCCCGACUUCGGAAGGGGUGUAUUUAUUAGAUAAAAAACCAAUGCUCCUCGGGGCUCCUUGGUGAUUCAUAAUAACUUAACGAAUCGCAUGGCCUUGUGCCGGCGAUGGUUCAUUCAAAUUUCUGCCCUAUCAACUUUCGAUGGUAGGAUAGUGGCCUACCAUGGUUUCAACGGGUAACGGGGAAUUAGGGUUCUAUUCCGGAGAGGGAGCCUGAGAAACGGCUACCACAUCCAAGGAAGGCAGCAGGCGCGCAAAUUACCCAAUCCCGACACGGGGAGGUAGUGACAAUAAAUACUGAUACAGGGCUCUUUUGAGUCUUGUAAUUGGAAUGAGUACAAUUUAAAUCCCUUAACGAGGAACAAUUGGAGGGCAAGUCUGGUGCCAGCAGCCGCGGUAAUUCCAGCUCCAAUAGCGUAUAUUAAAGUUGUUGCAGUUAAAAAGCUCGUAGUUGAACCUUGGGCCUGGCUGGCCGGUCCGCCUCAC
rnacentral:rRNA from 1 species